rnacentral:rRNA from 1 species
UACGGAGGGUGCGAGCGUUGUCCGGAAUCACUGGGCGUAAAGGGCGCGUAGGUGGCGCGAGUAGUCAACGGUGAAAGCCCGGGGCUCAACCCCGGGUCGGCCGUCGAUACUCUCGUGCUUGAGCACUGUAGAGGCAGGUGGAAUUCCGGGUGUAGCGGUGGAAUGCGUAGAGAUCCGGAAGAACACCGGUGGCGAAGGCGGCGCUCUGGGCCGAGUACUGACG